AUUGAACGCUGGCGGCAGGCUUAACACAUGCAAGUCGAGCGGUAACAGAGAGAAGCUUGCUUCUCUGCUGACGAGCGGCGGACGGGUGAGUAAUGCCUAGGAAUCUGCCUAGUAGUGGGGGAUAACUUGCCGAAAGGUAAGCUAAUACCGCAUACGUCCUACGGGAGAAAGGAGGGGACCUUCGGGCCUUUCGCUAUUAGAUGAGCCUAGGUCGGAUUAGUUAGUUGGUGAGGUAAUGGCUCACCAAGACCGCGAUCCGUAACUGGUCUGAGAGGAUGAUCAGUCACACUGGAACUGAGACACGGUCCAGACUCCUACGGGAGGCAGCAGUGGGGAAUAUUGGACAAUGGGGGGAACCCUGAUCCAGCCAUGCCGCGUGUGUGAAGAAGGUCUUAGGAUUGUAAAGCACUUUAAGUUGGGAGGAAGAGCAGUUAACUAAUAUUUGACUGUUUUGACGUUACCGACAGAAUAAGCACCGGCUAACUUCGUGUCAGCAGCCGCCGUAA
rnacentral:rRNA from 1 species